CUCCUGUCCUUUGCAUCAUGAUCUAGCUAGUCUAAACAAGCAAAUUACAACAUUUAGCUUGUACCCCCGAAACCCGACGAGCUACUUAAAAAUAGCUGUCAGAGCCAACUCAUCUCUGUUGCAAAAGAGUGAGAAAAUUUUUAAGUAGAGGUGACAUGCCUACCGAGCCAGGAGAUAGCUGGUUGCUCAAGAAAAGAACUUUAGUUCUCCCUCAAACUAUAACAUAAUAUUAAAUACACUUGAGAGUCAUUCAAAUAUGGUACAGCCUAUUUGACACCGGAUACAACCUAAAAACAAGGGUAAUGUAAACUUCCCCUCCCCCAAGUUGGCCUAAAAGCAGCCACCUUUAAAAUAGCGUUAUAGCUUAACUGAACCACUUUUAAUAAUAACUUCCUACAUACUAAACCCCACCUCAAUAUUGAGCGCUUCUAUAACUUAUAAAUGUUAUUAUGCUAGAACUAGUAACAAGAAAACCCCUUCUCCUAAAUGUAAGUAUACCUCGAAUUUGAUAUUUAUCACUAUAAAUGUAGUACCUCCCCUAGAAACCCCUACUAACUUUAUUAUUAAACUUACACAAGAACACUACAGGAAAAAUUAAAACAAAAAGAAGGAACUCGGCAAAUUUUAGUCUCGCCUGUUUAC
rnacentral:rRNA from 1 species